ensembl:lncRNA
UUCAGAGCAGCACACACACACGUUUGUUUUUGAGGGAAAGCCGAACUGUGAGCAGACAUGGAAGCUGUAGUUGGACUGUUAUUGCUGUUGUGUGGAGUGCCUCGUGAUGUGGAAACUCACUGUGAUGGCAGACAGGAUGGAGUUCAGUGUUAUGGAGCUUUGGGAGGAACUGUGGACAUCCAGCUGAUGGACAGCACCUCAGAAAUACCUAGAUACCACUUGUUAAAGGAUUCAUCAAAAAUAUUGGAUGUGAAACACAAUAAGAGUCUUCAUGAUACCACAGAGAACAAAUUUUUAUUUUUUCCUAGUAAUGGAAAAUUUAGGAUCAGUAGCCUAAACAGGAAGGACCAUGGUAAUUAUACCCUUCAAACCUUUGAUUCAGAUGGAAGAGCAUCAGGCGAGCGGACUUUAUGUAUAUUUGUUCAAGCUCCUGUGUCCUCUGUCCUGCUGGUCUCUGAGUGUCUGUCCCAGGGAGAGAUGAGGGUGUCCUGCUCCUCUGAGGGAGGGGACAGUCCUCAGUACAGCUGGACUCUGGAUGGACGCACACUGACAGAUGCUGAGCUCCUUUCUGGAAAUAAGGAGACUAACAUCAUCACUCUGAAACAGCACGUCUCAGGACGUCUGGUCUGCUCAGUCAGGAACAACGUCAGUAAUGUCUUCAAAGAAGAGAAGAUAUCUAUCUGUGAAGCAGGUAUUUUGCCAGUGAUCUGUGGUGUUCUCUCGGCUUUGGUAAUUUUCCUAACUGUGGCUGCAGCAGUCAUCUGUGCGCAGAGGAAGAAACAAAAAAACACACCUACAAAAGAUGAAGAAGAUGGACAGCAAAUAAUGUACUCCGAUGUUAGAGUGAAGAAAAAGAAAGAACAGAAGAAAAUGGAGAAAAGAGUGGAGGUGGAGGCAGAGGUGGAGUACGGCCAAGUUUUAGUCAAGUCCUCAAGGCGAUCUCGGCGCACUGAACAAGCAGGAGAUGAUUGUUUGUAUGUCAACAUCCAUAAAAUCAGGUGAUUAAAGUGAUCAGCAUUUUUACACAGACUACACCACUGAAGGUCCACAGAGGGAGGAGGUGGUGUCGAAAUACCGAAAGGUCUUUUAUUUAAUGGAACUUCC